UGUAUUCUAUUUUAUUUCUUUAUUUUUAAAUAUAAAUUUGCUGUUAGUGUGAUUCGAACACACACAGUAAGGGAAAUAAGCCGAAUCUCAGCAGCAUCCAGACAGCAGCAAUUUCGUUUGUCGCUUCUAUCGAUUGCGCCAAUGAACCCUAAACGUACAUCGCUGACGUGUAAUCGAGCACAUGACCUCUGUGAAAGUGAUUAUAGAGCGCGUAGUUAUCAGUUUCCUGGUAACGAGUAAACCUGUUUAGGGACAAAGUAUACUUAAAAUAAAUGAACUCUCCCUUGCUAUUUUACGAAGAAACGCAUACAAAAUAAUAUUAUAAAAAUAACACAAAAAAAGCAGGAAAGACAAAUAAAUAAAUAAAUAAAGCAGAGCAAUGCUACCGACGAGAAGAAAUUAUAGAAAAGAAAAGCUAUAGAUACACACACAACAUUAUCACUAGCUAAAUAACUAAUUAUAAUUUACGAAAUUAACUGAACUCUGUCACCAAGCUGCCUUUGAAAUAUAUAUAUAUAUAUAUAUAUAUAUAUAUAUAUAUAUAUACACAUUUAUAUUCUGUAUUAUUUUACCCAUCAACCUGAUUAUUAUUUUUUUUCUUCUGUCAUACGCGCCGCCCAUCCUGCCUUGGUUGAUAUCCACUAUCACUAUCACCCUUUCUCCCAGUCUAUAUAUAUAUAGCAAAGAGGAAUUGCCUUCCUUUCAGUCUCUGUUUUUCAAUCUGUUUAAACUGGUCACUUGGAGUCAAGGACGCUUUAUCGCGCUACUUCCACACUGACGUUCAAAUUACUUAAGUGCGUAAUUUAAGCAACUUAUCAACAAACAAACAAAUUGAUUGAUCAACAACAAAUAAUAAUAAGAAAAAAGACGAUACCGGUGAAACUACCACAGAUCGAUUUUUGUAAAUCAGUUAAAUUUUGCUUUUCAUUCUUGCGAGUGUCACAAUCUCAUCGAGUGUACAUUUAAACAGUUUUUGGAAAAGAAAGUAAUAAUGAUGGCCAACUCUACGCGUGGUUUUUUUGUACUCCCCGUUCUCUUCAGUUUUUUGCUCUUCGGAGCCUUUUUCAUGUUUGCAGAUGUAGCUGCUGCAUCAAACACUACGACUGUGGCGCCAAAAACUACAGCUGCAGCACCAAACACUACGACCACGGCACCAAA